AGGAGCAAGUGAAAGCAGUAGAGCCCUUGCCAGUGAUUACCAAUGCUUUGAUCGCAUCAAAUAUUACAAAUAGAGACCAGAUGGAAGCUGCUAAAGAAGUAGAUGUAACUGCUGCUGUGUGUGGUCCAGCAACUG